rnacentral:lncRNA from 1 species
CCAUAAGAAUUUACUUCAUUUCAUGUAUUCUGAUUGAAAAUACCUACUUUGUUGUUGUUUUUGUUUUUAGUUCUUAUAUACAGACUGAAUACAAAAUGUCCAAAGUCUGUUUUCAUUCACAUAAUGUGUAUGUACUGGCUUUCUUCAGGGAAAGUAGAGGGAAAGUCUCCUGCCUCUAUGUAACAGAACAGAGAGGGUUUUGGCAGCAGGAAGAGGCAGUGGCCAAUAGGUCAAAACUGCAUGGCACUCAUUUGCAUGGGAAGCUCUGUUGGAGUGAAAGUAAAGACAUCUGCAUUUCCCAAAUGCUGCUGGCCACAGGCUGCUGAGCCUUCUGAUGCCUCUUCAGCAAAACAGGUCCUGCUCCUAUGACAUGUCAGGCAGAUUCAGACCACCAGUCUCCAGGGCUGCUGACUGGAGCUGGAGCUUCAGCAGUUCUCAGAGUGGGCUGUCCUGUGGUAGGUUUCUGAAAAGCAUGAACGUCCUGGCUAACAAGCUCCAGCACUCCUCAGUAUCUCAUGUGGCAAGCUGUUACAGAAGCCAGGAAUGCUGGAGAGCAAGGUGUGUUUCAGAAACAUGGACAUACUCCUUGACUGUAUGCUGGGAGCUGCCAAGGAUGCACCACAGACAGUGCCCAAGCUUGUGUGUUACCCUGCUGCCAGAGACAGAACACUUCCUUCUGUAGGCUACUGGUUUGUCCAUCACACAGCUGUGCUCUUGUGGAGGAGCAGAAAGGAAGCUGGACCAUCUGAGACACAUACAACCUGAGAAUCAAGGAAGGGACUGAAAUGGACUGUCUUAGGCCUCCUAAUAUUAUUACAGCUCUAAGGACAAGAGGCACACAUUUAGCUACCCAUUGAAUCAACGGAAAGCAGUAGGCCUCUUCACUUCAUUUUACAGAUGUUUGGUUAAAUGCCUUAUGUAAUUGAAGUAGAGAGUGUGAAUACUGCUUCUGAUAAGAAUACAGCUAUAUAGUCCCAAGCAAUAUAUACUGGAGUGAUUAUGGAAGAUAAGAGGACUCAAUGGAACCAUAUCAGCAUUCAAAAGAUGGUGUCUAAAAGUCCCCAGAAACAUUCACCAUUCUGUAAAAACAGCUGAUUUGGAAAGACCCUAUUUGUAUCCUUUAAUUACAUUUCCCACGUUCUGCAGUAAAUGCCAUUCCUUUGAGAGAGGAACCUUCAAGCCUGUGUCACUGGGAUCAAACAUUCAAGAAAUGUGAUGGGGGGAAGCACAGGCAUCAGCAGAUGGCAGCUUGCUUAACCCAAGCACCAGAUGAAAAGCAAAUGUAUUAAAAGCUCUGACGUCAAAAGACAGGCAUCUUUCCAAGAGAAAUUCUGUCAGAACUUCAUAUAAAUCAAAAGACAGAUUGUGAAGCUUUUUAUUGGCAAUAGCACUUGUUCAUGAAGUAAGAUAAAUGAGUAGGGAGCAGAAAGGUAAGCCAAAAGGCAUCUUCAUUUUGCAGACCUUGCCUUGCAGCUCUGGAAUUUCCUGAACUGACAAUUGUUAAGAAAAGCCAGCGAUGCUGUAUUCACAUUCACAAUUAACUGCUAAGAAAAGAAAAUUGCAAUCACAAGAUUUGCUUGCUAAGUAGAUAUUUAAUUUGAAUUUGAAACAAAAAGGUACUUUUUAGCCUGCUUUGCACAUCUCUUACUGUGGUUAGAGCCAGAACCUUAAUGCCAAGUAAAUUUAAAGCUGCUCUAAACUACUUAUGCAUUUGGAUGUCUUUCUCUGAGUA